GACGUAGGGCGCGAGCGUUGUCCGGAUUUAUUGGGCGUAAAGAGCUCGUAGGCGGCUUGUCGCGUCGACUGUGAAAACCCGUGGCUCAACCAUGUGGUCUGCAGUCGAUACGGGCAGGCUAGAAUUCGGUAGGGGAGACUGGAAUUCCUGGUGUAGCGGUGAAAUGCGCAGAUAUCAGGAGGAACACCGGUGGCGAAGGCGGGUCUCUGGGCCGAUAUUGACGCUGAGGAGCGAAAGCGUGGGGAGCGAAGAGG
rnacentral:rRNA from 1 species